rnacentral:lncRNA from 1 species
GCCCUUUUCCCCCAUCCCCGGCUUCGCGCCGCCUUUGUUUCCGUAACGGUCCGCCUUGGAGGCGUUAUUACUCGCGAUCGACUUCGCGCCGCCCCACGCCGCGCGCCUGAACCCCUCGUCCUCUGACGCGUCGCCGCCGCCGUCGCCGUCGUCGUCGUCGUCGCCGCCGCCGCCGCCGCCGAGGAGAAGCGCGAGGUACUUUUGCUUCGCCGCGAGCUUCUUCCCGUCCGCGGAUUUGUCCACGUCAUCACCCGCCACGUCACCAUCCUCCUCGGCACCC